AUUGGAAGAAGAUUCCACUACGCCUCCCUCCGCCGCCGGCCUCCGGCCGCCGAACGGCCGAGGGAUCGACCAUCCGCGUCCGCCGGGAUCCUGGCGCUGGAUCCCCUCGCCCGCCUCGCCCUCUACAUCGCCAUGGCGCACGCCGGCCUUGCCUUCUCCCUUCUCCUUCUCUACGGCCUAUACCGCGUCCUCCACGGCUUCGUCCGCCCCCUCCAGUGGGCGUUUCUCUGCUCCAUCCCUCUUCGUGAGCUCCAGCGCGCACUUGUGGCCUUCUGGUCCCCAACCCUCCGCCUCGGCCUCCUCCCCGCCCUCCUAGCUGUCCCUGCUGGCCCCCUCCGUUCCUCCGCCGGCACCCUCGCCGACCUCCGCUCUGCCCUCAUCCACCCCAGCAAGCCCGCCCCCCGCUCCCGUGACAGUAGCUACGGCUUCUCCCGCCUCAUGCGCUGGCUCGUUUCCUUCUGGGCCUCUGUUGUCUGCUAUGAGCGGCUUGGCCCUGCUGGUCCUGCCCUCUUCGCCCUUGGCCUCUCCCUCGCUGGCCCAGCCGCCACCUCUGUCGUCAUACACGCCAGCUUUGCCACGGGGCGGUCAUCCAUACCCAGCGGCGGCAGGGUCCUCACGACUGGCGUCCUAAAGCAUUUGAACACCAUCGUCGCCAUCAGCUUGAUCGGCGUAAUGAUCAUCGGGGCCAUUGUUGGCGGAGUCUUCUUCUUAUAUAAGAUUGGGGUUGAGGGGAAGGAAGCCGCGAUGUCACUGAAAUCUCAUGUUCAGAAGAGCAAUUAAGCUGAGAAGAUCGGAUUCAAGAAGUGGAUGGAUGAUAAUGAUCUACCGGGCCUCGUUGUUCAGUAUUCGGCCAAGCUUUAUGACACAGUCUGGCAGCAAAUCGAUGAUUUGGCUGUCCAGUAUAAUCUGACUGACUUUGCCAAUGGCUUCUGGCAUUUCUUGUUAGGUUGGUCGGCACAUCCUUCUGUUGAGACUUGGACAGGUUUGACAAGAUCGCCGCCACACCCCUACGCUGUCAAGCUCCAGGCUCUGAGCAUGCAUGUCAAGAACCAUGAGUGGGCUGUGAUAUACAGAGAAUUGGUUUUCAUCUUUAGGGAAUUGUUGAUUACCAGAGAGGAUUUGGUGGUGAAAGCUAAAGACCUUGCUUUACAGGGUAUUGAGGUCUCAAAGCCGGUGCUUCUGAGUAGUACUUCGGUGCUUGGUGGCAGUGCUAACUUAAUGUUCUCCAUUGGUCUGAAAUUUGUCUCAGGCACGGUGGAAUUGUUAAAUUUUGUCUCCCAGUUGAUGGUUUUUCUCUGGGUGUUGUUUUAUCUCAUCACAUUGGAGUCUGGUGGAGCUACGGAACAAGCCAUUGGUAUGAUUCCCAUCUCCAAAUCUAUGAGGGUUCGAUGUGUUGAGGUGAUUGACCAUGCAAUAAGCAGUGUACUUUUGGCCACUGCGAAGAUUGCCAUCUUCCAUGGUUGCCUUACCUGGCUGCUAUUUAGGUUCUUCUUGGUGCAUUUUUUGUACCCAUCGACCAUCCUUGCAUUUAUCAGUGCCUUAGUUCCUAUAUUCCCACCAUGGCUUUCAUCAAUUCCUGCUGUGAUUCAGCUAUUAAUAGAAGGAAGAUACAUAUGGGCUGUAGGAUUGGCAGCGAUACAUCUUAUGCUGAUGGACUAUGGCACUUCAGUGGUUCAGGAGGAGAUACCAGGGCAUAGUGCUUAUUUAACUGGCCUUAGCAUCAACGGUGGCUAAGUCAGAUAACUACUGCUUGCUGAACCCUGAAGGUCCAGCAACUAUGUUGCUUUGUGCAUUUGUCAUUUGUCAGCCACUAUAAUGUGUAACUUUGUUUACAUCAACUAUGUUGGCACAUUUACAGCAAGAGGAAAGCUGGACAUCAACUAGUGUCAGUCCAAUAACAGUACAGACUGGAACAAGAGAUGGGAGCAUGACAGAAUUUGUUCUACGAAAAGAAAAAAAUUAUUUCUUGAACUCAUAGAGGUUUUUUAUCCUACUGACGCCGUAAGAUUUAUCGACAGCCUGUGCUAGUGAUGCUGCUGGUGCUUGUUAUAUGGGGAAUAAUCUGGAGAAUCAACCAGCAAAGAUGCUAUCUUUGUGAGGAAAUAAUCUUCAGAACAGAUGCCAUUUAGCCUCAUCAACCAAAGCUUUUCAUUUCCAGUUGAUGAGAUAUCAUCUACAACCUACAAAACAAAAGCUUGGGAAAGGUAAAAUAACACAUCCUGUUAUUCUUCCAACUUAUGUUUAGGAAGAUAAAAGCAGUGCUGAAAUUUUUUAACAUAAAGUUACUUGAGUGAUUGUGGGACAGUGCUUGGAUUAUCGGUUUUGAUGAUAGGGAAGUCCAUAAUCAUACUUGUUUCUUGGAAUGCAUUCACAAAGCUCCACACUUUGAUGGCACAAUUUUCCACUGAGAUCAUCUUAUUCCUUGUGUAAACUUCUGUUAUUCUCAUCUCUUUAUUCUUGCCUUUUCUCCCUUCCUACCUCUGCAUGUGCUCUCCCUUUUUCAAUUUAUCUUCUUGUAGACUUGCAUGACUUAUACAUUUCAUAUAAAAGAGACAUGAGUUAUUCUCUUA